AUUGAACGCUGGCGGCAUGCUUUACACAUGCAAGUCGAACGGUAACAGGCCUUCGGGUGCUGACGAGUGGCGAACGGGCGAGUAAUGCAUCGGAACGUGCCCAGAGGUGGGGGAUAACGCAGCGAAAGCUGUGCUAAUACCGCAUGUGAUCUGAGGAUGAAAGCGGGGGACCAGGCAGCAAUGUUUGGCCUCGCGCCUUUGGAGCGGCCGAUGUCAGAUUAGGUAGUUGGUGGGGUAAAGGCCUACCAAGCCGACGAUCUGUAGCUGGUCUGAGAGGACGACCGGCCACACUGGAACUGGGACACGGCCCAGACUCCUACGGGAGGCAGCGGUGGGAAAUUUUGGACAAGGGGCGCAAGCCUGAUCCAGCAAUGCCGCGGGCGGGAAGAAGGCCUUCGGGUUGUAAACCGCUUUUGUACGGAACGAAAAGGCUGUGGCUAAUACCUGGGGCUGAGGACGUUACCGUAAGAAUAAGCACCGGCUAACUACGU
rnacentral:rRNA from 1 species